rnacentral:tRNA from 1 species
UAGGAUGUAGCUCAGCGGUAGAGCACUUGCCUAGCAUGCACCAGGCCCUGGGUUCCAUCCCCAGCACCAAAG